UGGCACUCCAGAUGUUUUGGACUACACCUCCCAUGAUGCUUUACCAGCAUUAUGGGGGAUGUAGUCCAUAACAUCUGGAGUGCCG
rnacentral:miRNA from 1 species